AAUCAUGGUGGGCUGGGCAUGAGGCUGACUCAGGUCAGGCCGUUUCCUAUGUCACGGUAGUGCUAACCUCGGCCCAGUUCACCACCCAU
rfam:Vibrio aerogenes CECT 7868 genome assembly, contig: 0039